CCGAUGAGAUGAAGUCAAGUUUCGCGCCGGAAGAUAACGGCUGGGAGUAAAAAUUGCGAUUUCAGCAUUGGAGAUCCUUUAAGUCCUACUUAUCACCAAUCAAUUACCUCAAAUGAAAAGUUACCUCGCCAUUAUUGCUCAAAAGACUGGAAGGAGUCCUGUGGAGGAUUUAGAUUCCUCCUCUUUUGAGAAGUGCAACCGAUUGAAGUUAUAAAGGGCUCUGUGGUGUUUUGCCACGCAGAAGUGUGGAAAGCAGCCCUCCUUGCCACCUCUGCUACUGCCAUGGUGUGGAAUCUGCUGCUGGGCACAUUUGAUCUGGAGACUUUGCUGAAAAACAACCUGAAUGGUGGGAAGCCAACCAGAGGGGAUGGGAAGCAGCUGGUUGCCCUUGACCAAAUUAAAAAGGCAUCAUUAUUGGUGAGUAAAUGUAUAAAAGUUUUGUUUUCCCUUCUCAACGCAUUAGGAUUUUAUAA